rnacentral:rRNA from 1 species
CAGGAUGAACGCUAGCUACAGGCUAACACAUGCAAGUCGAGGGGCAGCAUAUCGAAAGCUUGCUUUGAUGAUGGCGACCGGCGCACGGGUGAGUAACGCGUAUCCAACCUUCCCUAUACUAGAGGAUAGCCCGGCGAAAGUCGGAUUAAUACUCUAUGUUCUUCGUAGAAGACAUCUGAAAUGAAGCAAAGGUUUACCGGUGUAGGAUGGGGGAUGCGUCUGAUUAGGUUGUUGGCGGGGUAACGGCCCACCAAGCCCACGAUCAGUAGGGUUCUGAGAGGAAGGUCCCCCACAUUGGAACUGAGACACGGUCCAAACUCCUACGGGAGGCAGCAGUGAGGAAUAUUGGUCAAUGGACGAGAGUCUGAACCAGCCAAGUAGCGUGCAGGAUGACGGCCCUAUGGGUUGUAAACUGCUUUUAUACAGGGAUAAAGUGACGUACGUGUACGUUUUUGUAGGUACUGUAUGAAUAAGGACCGGCUAAUUCCGUGCCAGCAGCUGC